rnacentral:snRNA from 1 species
CGAAAGAAUAGUUCGCUAUGUGC